rnacentral:rRNA from 1 species
CAGCAGCCACGGGAAUACAGAGGGUGCGAGCGUUAAUCGGAUUUACUGGGCGUAAAGCGUGCGUAGGCGGCUAAUUGAGUCGGAUGUGAAAUCCCCGAGCUUAACUUGGGAAUUGCAUUCGAUACUGGUUGGCUAGAGUGUGGGAGAGGAUGGUAGAAUUCCAGGUGUAGCGGUGAAAUGCGUAGAGAUCUGGAGGAAUACCGAUGGCGAAGGCAGCCAUCUGGCCUAACACUGACGCUGAGGUACGAAAGCAUGGGGAGCAAACAGGAUUGGAUACCCCGGUAGUCCCUGUCUCUUAUAC